rnacentral:misc_RNA from 1 species
AUGCCACACCACUUCCAGAUUUGGGUAAGCAAAUCAGUCACCCUUUUUGUUCUAAUAUGCUCAAUGGAAUAUCUGGCUCCAGCUAAUGCAGUCCAAAUGACAUAACUUCCAAUUAUGAAUGCAUAAAGAUCAUUGCACUUGAUGCCAUGAGUUAUUGGGAGAAAAGGGAUGGCAUUGAAAAGGGCACGCCCAAGUGAUAUUGGUACAACUAUCAAGGCAGAGUUGAAGAUAAGUAGAGUCAUCCAAGCUACAACCAGCAAGAGGACAAUGCGA